rnacentral:rRNA from 1 species
AUUGAACGCUGGCGGCAUGCUUUACACAUGCAAGUCGAACGGUAACAGGCCUUCGGGUGCUGACGAGUGGCGAACGGGUGAGUAAUGCAUCGGAACGUGCCCAGAGGUGGGGGAUAACGCAGCGAAAGCUGUGCUAAUACCGCAUGUGAUCUGAGGAUGAAAGCGGGGGACCAGGCAGCAAUGUUUGGCCUCGCGCCUUUGGAGCGGCCGAUGUCAGAUUAGGUAGUUGGUGGGGUAAAGGCCUACCAAGCCGACGAUCUGUAGCUGGUCUGAGAGGACGAGAGGCACAGGGGGAAUUUGUGAACGGCCCGGCCACGUAGGGGAGGGAGCAGGGGGGAUGUGUAAGAAGGGGUCGGAAGCCUAAUCCAGUAAUGCCGGGGACGGAAAGAAGGCGUUUGGGGUGUAAGGCGGUUUUUGGAAGAAAAAAAAGGCUCUGGGGAUAACUGGGUGCCAUCGGCGGUGGCGAUAAAAGAAGGAGCGCCUAACUACCC